rnacentral:tRNA from 1 species
GGUAAGGUGGCCGAGGGUGAGGCGGCGGGUUGUAGCCCCGAGCACAGAGGUUUAACUCCUCUUCUUAUCA